UUCGAGUGUUGUAGGAUGCACGUCAGCUCGUGUCGUGAGAUGUAUGGUUUAGUCCUAAAA
rnacentral:rRNA from 12 species